rnacentral:rRNA from 1 species
UGCUGGAGGUAUCAGAAGUGCGAAUGCUGACAUAAGUAACGAUAAAGCGGGUGAAAAGCCCGCUCGCCGGAAGACCAAGGGUUCCUGUCCAACGUUAAUCGGGGCAGGGUGAGUCGACCCCUAAGGCGAGGCCGAAAGGCGUAGUCGAUGGGAAACAGGUUAAUAUUCCUGUACUCGGUGUUACUGCGAAGGGGGGACGGAGAAGGCUAUGUCGGCCGGGCGACGGUUGUCCCGGUUUAAGCAUGUAGGCGGAGGUUCCAGGUAAAUCCGGUACCUUUUUAACGCUGAGGUGUGAUGACGAGGCACUACGGUGCUGAAGUGACAAAUGCCCUGCUUCCAGGAAAAGCCUCUAAGCAUCAGGUAACAACGAAUCGUACCCCAAACCGACACAGGUGGUCAGGUAGAGAAUACCAAGGCGCUUGAGAGAACUCGGGUGAAGGAACUAGGCAAAAUGGUGCCGUAACUUCGGGAGAAGGCACGCUGAUGGUAAGUGAAGUGACUUGCUCAUGGAGCUGAAAUCAGUCGAAGAUACCAGCUGGCUGCAACUGUUUAUUAAAAACACAGCACUGUGCAAACACGAAAGUGGACGUAUACGGUGUGACGCCUGCCCGGUGCCGGAAGGUUAAUUGAUGGGGUUAUCCGUAAGGAGAAGCUCUUGAUCGAAGCCCCGGUAAACGGCGGCCGUAACUAUAACGGUCCUAAGGUAGCGAAAUUCCUUGUCGGGUAAGUUCCGACCUGCACGAAUGGCGUAAUGAUGGCCAGGCUGUCUCCACCCGAGACUCAGUGAAAUUGAACUCGCUGUGAAGAUGCAGUGUACCCGCGGCAAGACGGAAAGACCCCGUGAACCUUUACUAUAGCUUGACACUGAACACUGGUCCUUGAUGUGUAGGAUAGGUGGGAGGCUUUGAAGCGUGGACGCCAGUCUGCGUGGAGCCAACCUUGAAAUACCACCCUUUAAUGGCUGGUGUUCUAACGUAGACCCGUCAUCCGGGUUGCGGACAGUGUCUGGUGGGUAGUUUGACUGGGGCGGUCUCCUCCCAAAGAGUAACGGAGGAGCACGAAGGUUAGCUAAUCCUGGUCGGACAUCAGGAGGUUAGUGCAAUGGCAUAAGCUAGCUUGACUGCGAGCGUGACGGCGCGAGCAGGUGCGAAAGCAGGUCAUAGUGAUCCGGUGGUUCUGAAUGGAAGGGCCAUCGCUCAACGGAUAAAAGGUACUCCGGGGAUAACAGGCUGAUACCGCCCAAGAGUUCAUAUCGACGGCGGUGUUUGGCACCUCGAUGUCGGCUCAUCACAUCCUGGGGCUGAAGUAGGUCCCAAGGGUAUGGCUGUUCGCCAUUUAAAGUGGUACGCGAGCUGGGUUUAGAACGUCGUGAGACAGUUCGGUCCCUAUCUGCCGUGGGCGCUGGAGAAUUGAGGGGGGCUGCUCCUAGUACGAGAGGACCGGAGUGGACGCAUCACUGGUGUUCGGGUUGUCAUGCCAAUGGCAUUGCCCGGUAGCUAAAUGCGGAAGAGAUAAGUGCUGAAAGCAUCUAAGCACGAAACUUGCCCCGAGAUGAGUUCUCCCUGACUC